rnacentral:rRNA from 1 species
AACGAACGCUGGCGGCAUGCCUAACACAUGCAAGUCGAACGAGACCUCCGGGUCUGCUGGCUCACGCGUGCGUAGCGCGUGGGAACCUGCCCUUAUGCUCGGAAUAACUCUCCGACAUGGGUGCUAAUACCGGAUAAUGUCUUCGGACCAAAGAUUUAUCGCCUUUGUAUGGGCCCGCGUUGGUUUAGCUUGUUGGUAUGGUAAAAGCCUACCAAGGCUACGAUCCAUAGCUGGUCUGAGAGGAUGAUCCGCCACACUGGGAAUGAGACACGGCCCAGAAUCCUAGGCGAGGCAGGAGAGGGGAAUACUGGACAAUGGGGGAAAGCAUGAUCCAGCUAUGCCGGGUGAGUGAUGAAGGCGUUAGGGAUGUAAAGCUCUUUUACCCGGGAUGAUACUGACAGUACCGGGAGAAUAAGCUCCGGUUAACUCCGUG